UUGCAUAAAUGAUUUUUGGAUUCGGAGCGAGUGGCGAACUGGUGAGUAACACGUGGGUAACCUGCCCCGAAGCGGGGGAUAACAUUUGGAAACAAGUGCUAAUACCGCAUAAUUAGUUGGAACCGCAUGGUUCCAACUUGAAAGAUGGCUCUGCUAUCACUUUGGGAUGGACCCGCGCCGUAUUAGUUAGUUGGUGAGAUAAAAGCCCACCAAGACGAUGAUACGUAGCCGACCUGAGAGGGUAAUCGGCCACAUUGGGACUGAGACACGGCCCAGACUCCUACGGGAGGCAGCAGUAGGGAAUCUUCCACAAUGGACGAAAGUCUGAUGGAGCAACGCCGCGUGAGUGAUGAAGGUUUUCGGAUCGUAAAACUCUGUUGUUAAAGAAGAACAAGUGUUAGAGUAACUGUUAACACUUUGACGGUAUUUAACCAGAAAGCCACGGCUAACUACGUGCCAGCAGCCGCGGUAAUACGUAGGUGGCAAGCGUUGUCCGGAUUU
rnacentral:rRNA from 1 species